AAAAGGUACUCCGGGGAUAACAGGCUGAUACCGCCCAAGAGUUCAUAUCGACGGCGGUGUUUGGCACCUCGAUGUCGGCUCAUCACAUCCUGGGGCUGAAGUAGGUCCCAAGGGUAUGGCUGUUCGCCAUUUAAAGUGGUACGCGAGCUGGGUUUAGAACGUCGUGAGACAGUUCGGUCCCUAUCUGCCGUGGGCGCUGGAGAACUGAGGGGGGCUGCUCCUAGUACGAGAGGACCGGAGUGGACGCAUCACUGGUGUUCGGGUUGUCAUGCCAAUGGCACUGCCCGGUAGCUAAAUGCGGAAGAGAUAAGUGCUGAAAGCAUCUAAGCACGAAACUUGCCCCGAGAUGAGUUCUCCCUGACUCCUUGAGAGUCCUGAAGGAACGUUGAAGACGACGACGUUGAUAGGCCGGGUGUG
rnacentral:rRNA from 1 species